rnacentral:rRNA from 1 species
CCUACGGGUGGCUGCAGUGAGGAAUAUUGGUCAAUGGACGGAAGCCUGAACCAGCCAAGUCGCGUGAGGGAUUAAGGCCCUAUGGGUCGUAAACCUCUUUUGUCAGGGAGCAAUGGCGUCCACGUGUGGGCGUAUGGAGAGUACCUGAAGAAAAAGAAUCGCCUAACUCCGUGCCAGCAGCCGCGGUAAUACGGGGAAUGCGAGGUUUAUCCGAAUUUAUUGGUUUUAAAGGGUGCGCAGGCGUAGGUGCAAGUCAGGGGUCAAAUUGCGGGGCUCAACCCCGGACUGCCGUUGAAACUGCAUCCCUAGAGUGCGCGAGAAGUAUGCGGAAUGCGUGGUGUAGCGGUGAAAUGCAUAGAUAUCACGCAGAACUCCGAUUGCGAAGGCAGCAUACCGGCGCGCAACUGACGCUCAUGCACGAAAGCGUGGGUAUCGAACAGGAUUAGAUACCCUUGUAGUC